GAUGAACGCUGGCGGCGUGCCUAAUACAUGCAAGUAGAACGCUGAAGGAGGAGCUUGCUCUUCUGGAUGAGUUGCGAACGGGUGAGUAACGCGUAGGUAACCUGCCUGGUAGCGGGGGAUAACUAUUGGAAACGAUAGCUAAUACCGCAUGACAACAGUUAUUGCAUGAUAACUGUUUAAAAGGGGCAACUGCUCCACUACCAGAUGGACCUGCGUUGUAUUAGCUAGUUGGUGAGGUAACGGCUCACCAAGGCGACGAUACAUAGCCGACCUGAGAGGGUGAUCGGCCACACUGGGACUGAGACACGGCCCAGACUCCUACGGGAGGCAGCAGUAGGGAAUCUUCGGCAAUGGACGGAAGUCUGACCGAGCAACGCCGCGUGAGUGAAGAAGGUUGUCGGAUCGUAAAGCUCGGUUGUAAGAGAAGAACGAGUGUGAGAGUGGAAAGUUCACACUGUGACGGUAGCUUAACAGAAAGGGACGGCUAACUACGUG
rnacentral:rRNA from 1 species